rnacentral:rRNA from 1 species
GAUGAACGCUGGCGGCGUGCCUAAUACAUGCAAGUCGAGCGAACGGACGAGAAGCUUGCUUCUCUGAUGUUAGCGGCGGACAGGUGAGUAACACGUGGAUAACCUACCUAUAAGACUGGGAUAACUUCGGGAAACCGGAGCUAAUACCGGAUAAUAUUUUGAACCGCAUGGUUCAAAAGUGAAAGACGGUCUUGCUGUCACUUAUAGAUGGAUCCGCGCUGCAUUAGCUAGUUGGUAAGGUAACGGCUUACCAAGGCAACGAUGCAUAGCCGACCUGAGAGGGUGAUCGGCUACACUGUAACUGAGACACGGUCCAGACUCCUACGGGAGGCAGCAGUAGGGAAUCUUCCGCAAAGGGCGAAAGCCUGACGGAGCAACGCCGCGUGAGUGAUGAAGGUCUUCGGAUCGUAAAACUCUGUUAUUAGGGAAGAACAUAUGUGUAAGUAACUGUGCACAUCUUGACGGUACCUAAUCAGAAAGCCACGGCUAACUACGUG